GCCGAAUUUCUCUCAGGCAAAAUGUCAAUAAUACUCAGUAGCUGAGUGCAGCCUUACAUGUUUGAACCGGAGUCAGACACAGACAGAGAGACUCAGGAAGAGGCUGCGACUGUACAUGGACGUUUCUGAAUGGCCAGAGAAACUUUACACUGCUGUUGUGAGACUGUUAUCAGCGCUCAUGUCGGCAGGAACUGCAUCUAAACCCUGCUGUAAGACUUCAAUAUGUGACAUAUCUUCAGGGCUGGAUACACCGUCCAAGAUGACAGAGAGCCUAACAGGAUAUGAGGAGAUAUGCAGCUGUCUGUCCAUGCUGAUCCUGCGCUGACCGGGAGGCAGAGGGAACUUCACACAGCCGCACUUAGAUGAGAGGGUCACGGGUUCAAACCACAGGUGUCGUGCCCUGCAGCAGGACACUUCCAGUCUAAACAGUGUAAACGGUUUUCAGGAAUGUGAAAGUGCACGACUGGAUCAAAGGAGCCAGCCAAUCAGGAUCCUGUUUACACUGUAUCUUUUAGAAAGUCUUUGGUUGAGCCAUCCUGGUUUAAGUGCUGAGCUGUGACGAAGAUGUAAGCUGUGUUAUUAGCUGGCUUGUCUCAGUGUUAUGAGGUAAACAU